rnacentral:rRNA from 1 species
AUGCCUUCUAAUCACGAUUUUCUGCUGCUGCACGUGAUUACUGGAAGAAGAGAAGGGAUGGCCGCAGGAGACAUCGCGCACCGGAUCACGGAUGAGGCGGACGACGUCGCGGACGCUGUGUACUCUGUUCUCAAUACAAUUGUGCCGACAAGCUUGCAAUUGAUAGCAAUGGGUACUCAAAUGGUGGCAAUAAAUCCCCAGCUCUCAUUAGUUGCAGCAAUGGUAAUUCCAUGCAUGUCCAUAGUCAUUGCAAAGCUUGGUGAAAGACUCCGUCAAAUAUCCAAGGAGGCACAUCUUAGCCUCGCCAUGCUCGCAGCCUAUCUCAACGAUGUACUUCCAUCGAUGCUCACUGUGAAGGUAAACAAUGGGGAGCACAAAGAGAUGUUAAGAUUCCAUGAGUUGGCUUUUGUUGAUCUGAAGAAUAAUUUGGGUAAGAAGAAGAUGAAAGCUCUCAUACCUCAAGCUGUUCGUACUACAUACAUUGCAGGCCUGGUAGUGCUUUGUGCUGGUUCAGUAGCAGUUUCUGGAACCACAUUUGAUCCCGAGGGGUUUCUUUCUUUCCUAACAGCACUUGCUCUUUUUGUUGAGCCUAUUCAGGAUUUUGGCAAGGCAUACAAUGAAUAUAAGCAAGGAGAACCAGCAUUAGAACGCAUAUUUGAUUUAACAAGGUUCAUCCCUGAGGUGAGGGAUAAACCAAGUGCAGUUCAUUUAAAUUCUGUUAAGGGAGAUAUUAAGUUCCAUGAUGUUACAUUUAGAUAUGUUGCUGGUAUGCCACCAACAGUAGAUGGUGUGAAUCUUCAUAUCAGAGCAGGAGAAACUAUUGCUAUUGUUGGACCAUCUGGUGGAGGGAAAACCACUCUUGCCAAAUUACUCCUCCGUCUUUAUCAUCCACAAAGUGGACAUAUAGCUCUGGACAACCAUGAUAUUCAAGACAUUCAGUUGCAGUGCUUGAGAACACAUAUUGCGUUUGUUUCACAGGACCCGAUGUUAUUUUCCGGUACAAUUGCUGAAAAUAUUGCGUAUGGUGACCCUAUGGGAGAUAUUAAUAUGAGAAAAGUUGAGAAUGCUGCUAAGAUUGCCAAUGCCAAUGAGUUCACUAAGAUAUUGCCAAAGGGAUAUGACUCGUAUAUAGGACAGAGAGGUUCUAGUUUAAGUGGCGGGCAAAAACAAAGGUUAUCUAUCGCAAGGGCAAUCUACCAAAACUCUUCCAUACUGGUACUGGAUGAAGCAACGUCUGCUCUGGAUAGCAGGUCUGAGCUGCUACUGAAAGAAGUACUGAUGAAUUUGAUGGCAAGCCACACUGUUGUCAUCAUUGCUCAUCGGCUGGAGAUGAUCCUGAUGGCUGAUAGAAUUGUUUUACUAGAGGGCGGUAAAUUACGAGAGAUCACGAGGUCGGCUUUCUUGUCCCUAGAUGGCCGCUUCGGUUCACCACCAGAUGUCCUCAGUCGAGAAUUAGGAGAGGCUUGA